GUACAAUUCCUCAAGUUUUCAGACAUCGCACCUUGGAGAGAAGCUAAACAACUAAGUUCCCCCCUGGAUGCACCACCUCCAGCUGCCUGUGUCAGGAAGGUGCAGGGUAUGGGCUGCAGGAAGACCAGGAUCAGCCUGACUUGGCAGAGCAAAAGCACAGUGCUGUGGGAUGCGGGCAGCAGAGAAUGCUUUUGUGUCCUGGAAAGCUGGUGCCAGAUGUUUGCGUGUUUUCAGAAUGACUUUGUGCAAGACAUAUAACUCUGCUGACUGUGAGUUCAAUUUUAUUAGACAGUAACAGUAUGCUCUAAAUUCAAUUUCUCAUUGGAGAAACAGAAAAAAAAAAACAACCAAGCAAACAAUUUGAAAGCUGCACAAAAACUGCUGUUUCACGGUUUGCACAGGCCUCUGAUGAAGGAGCUCUUCUUAAUGAAG
rnacentral:lncRNA from 1 species